UGUGCCCAUGCACACAUUUUUGAGUUGACAAUCCAUAUGUGUGUGUGCUUAUUUUGUCAUUGACAUAGUGCGAGUUUUGAGUGCAGCAAGUUGUAAACUCACAUCUGGCAGACGCGAGUGCACUUUAGGCAAAUAUGUGUGUGCGCUGUUUGAGUCUGUACGUGUAUGUGUGUUCAUCGUGUGUGUGUGUGUGUGUGUGUGUACCUGUGUGACGACAGGGCCAUCUCAUUGUCUCCCUCUCUCCAGUGAGUUAUUUGGCCCUGUGACACCUCCGCUCCAAAUCAAUAACUCCAUCUCUGCCUGGUCAUGUCUGCCAUUGAACCGUGCGUUAAACUGACAUUGAAAACUAUAUCAAAGGGUGCGUCUGACGCUUUCAAUUCACUUUUGAAAAGAUUAUUUUCUCCAAUAGGCCUUUGAAUGUAAUUGCUGGCAAAGCAGUUUUCUACCUUCAAUGGAAGAUGUCAAGGUGCAAGUCAUGUGGUUAGCUAAUAGAUAUGUGUACCAGUAAAGACAACUUUAGUAUAGUUUUAUGAUGGGGUUAACAAGCUAAGACCACGUUUGAAAGGGGAAGCUAACCUCCGAAAUGCGUUUCCACAUCUCUAAAGCUGUGUGCCACUGGUAAGGGGGAAGAGUGUGACAAACGACAAUCAGAAUGAUCGGGGGAAGUGCCCGACAGUCUCACAGAGGAGAAGGGGACAGGUCAGCGUGACAAACUCUUACACAACUGCCUCAGCAAGUGAGGCAGUGUGGUUGUUCUUGUCAGAAUGUCCCUAUGUAGGAUUCUUUUUGUUAUGAUUACUCAGUCCCACGCACAUCCCAUUGAAGCUUUCACAAACGCUACUUCUCCUCUCUUUAUCAGAAUAGUAACUUAUCUUUACCAAAGAGAGUCUUGCUCUGCCACCUCUGAUUACCCUCCUGACACUAAUCAGUCAGCGCGACACUACGACACCCUCACACAGGAAGUGACCCUUUAAACCUUGACACUACUCCUGAUGCAACUCCAGGUAAUGGAAGGUAGAGCUGGGGGUGUGGGUUGCGUCCAAAAUGUCACCCUAUUCCCUAUAGUGCACUACUUUUCACCAGGUCCCAUAGGGCUUUUGUCAAAAGUAGUGCACUAUAUAUGGAAUAGGGUGCCACUUGUGGUGAGAGCCUCUAUGUGAGGUGUAGUGUGACAGAGAACAGAGAGGACUACUUCCUGUAUCCUGUUACUGAAGGAAAUGUGUUUUCACACAAUGGAGUGAAUGGAGGUGAGUCAUGGCCAGCUGAGAGAUUCAGAUCCGCUCUGCAUUCAGACAUAACAGCAGCGAUUCCACUCACAUUUUGUUUACUCCUUGUUCUCUCACGCUGUCCAUUGUACAGAGAUAAUAUGACGGGACAGCAGUGGAGAAGGUGUACAUUUUUAAGUUCCUAGACGUACACAUCACGGAAAAACUGAAAUGGUCCACCCACACAGACAGUGUGGUGAAGAAGGCGCAAUAGCGCCUCUUCAACCUCAGGAGGCUGAAGAAAUUUGGCUUGUCACCUAAAACCCUCACAAACAUUUACAGAUGCACAAUUGAGAGCAUCCUGUCGGGCUGUAUCACUGCCUGGUACGGCAACUGCACCGCCCACAACCGCAAGGCUUUCCAGAGGGUGGUGCCUUCUGCACAACGCAUCACUGGGGGAAAACUACCUGCCCUCCAAACUACCUAUCACGAGUCACUUUAAUAAUGCCACUUUAAUAAUGUUUGCAUAUCUUGCAUUACUCAUCUCAUAUAUACUGUAUUUUAUACCAUCUAUUGCAUUUUGCCAAUGCUGCUCUGUCAUUGCUCAUCCAUGUAUUUAUAUGUAUAUAUUCCAUUCCUUUAUUUAGAUUUGUGUGUAUUAGGUAGUUAUUGGGGAAUUGUUAGAUAUUGCUGCACUGUCUGAAGUAGAAGCACAAGCAUUUUGCUACACUCGCAUUAAACACCUGAUAACCAUGUGUAUGUGACCAAUACAAUUUGAUUUGAUUUGACACUGUGUGUGUGUGUCUGACACUGUGUGUGUGUGUGUGUGUGUGUGUGUGUGUGUGUGUGUGUGUGUGUGUGUGUGUGCGUGUGUUAUACAUUAGUCAAUCCCCAUUGAACCCUCCUUCAGCACCAGCCGAACAAACACAUCCCUUUCUCAUCACUGACCAUGUCUACUUCUAAUAGUUUACGUACCCUUUAGCAUGAGUUGUAAUAGCUAAUAUGCCUUCCAGUACUCAGGUACCACUUCUUCCACUGAUCUGAGUGCUGCUUCUCCCCUCAGGAGACACAGCAAGGUCUCCUCUCCGUCUGUCUACCGCUGACCUGGGGUCAGCUUUCUGUGAUUUCUCCUCUCUGUCUCCCAUUAUAGGUCUAUUAUCUAUUAUGCUCUGUCUGUUAUAACCUGGUCAGCACAUUGACCCCUUACAGUGUCUGAUUAUAAUGGACAGCAACCCUGAUCCCAUUCAUUUCCCCUUUCUCCUUUUCCAUCUUUCUCCUUCUUUGUCUCUCUCUCUCUCCCUUCCUCCCUCACUCUCUCUUCUCUCUCUAUCUCUCUCCAGUUUAAUGGAAAUGUCUUCUCGGGCAAUAUCAGUGCAAAUUGCAUAUUAGGUCACUGUAAGCCCUGGCGGAUACUAUUGAAGGUUAUAAUAGCUGGUAUACCAGGCCAGCUCCUGAUAUUAUUGAAGGUUAUGAUAGCUGGUAUACCAGGCCAGCUCCUGAUACUAUUGAAGGUUAUGAUAGCUGGUAUACUCGGCCAGCUCCUGAUAUUAUUGAAGGUUAUGAUAGCUGGUAUACUCGGCCAGCUCCUGAUAUUAUUGAAGGUUAUGAUAGCUGGUAUACCAGGCCAGCUCCUGAUACUAUUGAAGGUUAUGAUAGCUGGUAUACCAGGCCAGCUCCUGAUAUUAUUGAAGGUUAUGAUAGCUGGUAUACCAGGCCAGCUCCUGAUACUAUUGAAGGUUAUGAUAGCUGGUAUACUCGGCCAGCUCCUGAUAUUAUUGAAGGUUAUGAUAGCUGGUAUACUCGGCCAGCUCCUGAUACUAUUGAAGGUUAUGAUAUAGCUGGUAUACCAGGCCAGCUCCUGAUACUUUUGAAGGUUAUGAUAGCUGGUAUACCAGGCCAGCUCCUGAUAUUAUUGAAGGUUAUGAUAGCUGGUAUACCAGGCCAGCUCCUGAUAUUAUUGAAGGUUAUGAUAGCUGGUAUACUCGGCCAGCUCCUGAUACUAUUGAAGGUUAUGAUAGCUGGUAUACCAGGCCAGCUCCUGAUACUAUUGAAGGUUAUGAUAGCUGGUAUACCAGGCCAGCUCCUGAUAUUAUUGAAGGUUAUGAUAGCUGGUAUACCAGGCCAGCUCCUGAUACUAUUGAAGGUUAUGAUAGCUGGUAUACUCGGCCAGCUCCUGAUAUUAUUGAAGGUUAUGAUAGCUGGUAUACUCGGCCAGCUCCUGAUAUUAUUGAAGGUUAUGAUAGCUGGUAUACUCGGCCAGCUCCUGAUAUUAUUGAAGGUUAUGAUAGCUGGUAUACCAGGCCAGCUCCUGAUACUAUUGAAGGUUAUGAUAGCUGGUAUACCAGGCCAGCUCCUGAUAUUAUUGAAGGUUAUGAUAGCUGGUAUACCAGGCCAGCUCCUGAUACUAUUGAAGGUUAUGAUAGCUGGUAUACUCGGCCAGCUCCUGAUAUUAUUGAAGGUUAUGAUAGCUGGUAUACUCGGCCAGCUCCUGAUACUAUUGAAGGUUAUGAUAUAGCUGGUAUACCAGGCCAGCUCCUGAUACUUUUGAAGGUUAUGAUAGCUGGUAUACCAGGCCAGCUCCUGAUAUUAUUGAAGGUUAUGAUAGCUGGUAUACCAGGCCAGCUCCUGAUAUUAUUGAAGGUUAUGAUAGCUGGUAUACUCGGCCAGCUCCUGAUACUAUUGAAGGUUAUGAUAGCUGGUAUACCAGGCCAGCUCCUGAUAUUAUUGAAGGUUAUGAUAGCUGGUAUACCAGGCCAGCUCCUGAUACUAUUGAAGGUUAUGAUAGCUGGUAUACUCGGCCAGCUCCUGAUAUUAUUGAAGGUUAUGAUAGCUGGUAUACUCGGCCAGCUCCUGAUACUAUUGAAGGUUAUGAUAUAGCUGGUAUACCAGGCCAGCUCCUGAUACUAUUGAAGGUUAUGAUAGCUGGUAUACCAGGUCACCUCCUGAUACUAUUGAAGGUUAUGAUAUAGCUGGUAUACUCGGCCAGCUCCUGAUACUAUUGAAGGUUAUGAUAUAGCUGGUAUACCAGGUCACCUCCUGAUACUAUUGAAGGUUAUGAUAUAGCUGGUAUACUCGGCCAGCUCCUGAUACUAUUGAAGGUUAUGAUAUAGCUGGUAUACCAGGCCAGCUCCUGAUACUAUUGCUAAUGUCUGAAGAGACUUUGGAAAUACUUUACUAUUUGGGGAUGUUGUCUGUUGUAGAAUGUGUCGUGUUAUGCCAAGCUGACACACUAAUCUCAACUCUUUCUCUCUCCUCAGUGCUGGGAAGUGGACACAUCAUGAAAUGCAAAACACAACAGUGAUGCCUAACAAGAAGAUAGCCGAAGAGCCUUCAACGUGCCUGUUAGUGUGUGAAUGUGUUUUUGUGUGUGAGAGAGUGAGUGGGUGCAUGAGAGAGAUUUACAGUGUUUUUAUGCAUUCUCUUUAUAUCUACAGUAUAGUCUAUGGGUAUUUUUAAGAAUAGAAUAAUAUAUUUAUAUACUGUGCUCAUGUUUUGGGCUCUUUUUAUACAGAGAUGCUUUUUAUCCUGUAAAUAAAUCCCAACUGAGCCCUGAA